rnacentral:rRNA from 1 species
UUUAUGGAGAGUUUGAUCCUGGCUCAGGAUGAACGCUGGCGGCGUGCCUAAUACAUGCAAGUCGAGCGAACGGACGAGAAGCUUGCUUCUCUGAUGUUAGCGGCGGACGGGUGAGUAACACGUGGAUAACCUACCUAUAAGACUGGGAUAACUUCGGGAAACCGUAGCUAAUACCGGAUAAUAUUUUGAACCGCAUGGUUCAAAAGUGAAAGACGGUCUUGCUGUCACUUAUAGAUGGAUCCGCGCUGCAUUAGCUAGUUGGUAAGGUAACGGCUUACCAAGGCAACGAUGCAUAGCCGACCUGAGAGGGUGAUCGGCCACACUGGAACUGAGACACGGUCCAGACUCCUACGGGAGGCAGCAGUAGGGAAUCUUCCGCAAUGGGCGAAAGCCUGACGGAGCAACGCCGCGUGAGUGAUGAAGGUCUUCGGAUCGUAAAACUCUGUUAUUAGGGAAGAACAUAUGUGUAAGUAACUGUGCACAUCUUGACGGUACCUAAUCAGAAAGCCACGGCUAACUACGUGCCAGCAGCCGCGGUAAUACGUAGGUGGCAAGCGUUAUCCGGAAUUAUUGGGCGUAAAGCGCGCGUAGGCGGUUUUUUAAGUCUGAUGUGAAAGCCCACGGCUCAACCGUGGAGGGUCAUUGGAAACUGGAAAACUUGAGUGCAGAAGAGGAAAGUGGAAUUCCAUGUGUAGCGGUGAAAUGCGCAGAGAUAUGGAGGAACACCAGUGGCGAAGGCGACUUUCUGGUCUGUAACUGACGCUGAUGUGCGAAAGCGUGGGGAUCAAACAGGAUUAGAUACCCUGGUAGUCCACGCCGUAAACGAUGAGUGCUAAGUGUUAGGGGGUU